rnacentral:rRNA from 1 species
CAGCACCUCAAGUGGUCAGGAUGAUUAUUGGGCCUAAAGCAUCCGUAGCCGGCGCUGUAAGUUUUCGGUUAAAUCUGUACGCUCAACGUACAGGCUGCCGGGAAUACUGCAGCGCUAGGGAGUGGGAGAGGUGGACGGUACUCGGUAGGAAGGGGUAAAAUCCUUUGAUCUAUUGAUGACCACCUGUGGCGAAGGCGGUCUACCAGAACACGUCCGACGGUGAGGGAUGAAAGCUGGGGGAGCAAACCGGAUUAGAUACCCGAGUAGUCC